GCAUAUGUAGGGAGCGGUGCGACAGCUGUAUGAUAAUGAGGUGAAUCUGGCGCCCUCCUAACAACAGUACUGAGCAUGCGUGGAGUUUUGCACCUGACGUCAGUCUGGCUGGGGCGGUACUAUGCUAAAUGGGAGUUCAUGCCUCGCCAAUCUCUGGAGGACAAGUAGCUGGGAUGCAGUGGGGUGACUCGUGCCCCACCAAUCCCUGAAAGAAGAUUAGCAUACUGUUGUGUAUAUAAGCCGAGCGGCUUUGCCGCUCGGCGCGGUAACACUUAAAGCGGUAACACUUAAAGCUGUAACACUUGGAGCUGUAACACUUAGGGCUGGCUGCCGCCGCCUCCCUGUAUCAACAAAGAAGGUCUCCUGCAGUAAAGGCUGUUGAGAAGAAUCCAACCGUGUUGCGUCUUCCUUGCCGGACGAGGUGGGCGCGACAAAGUGGUGGCCCGUACGGGGACGAGGACAUCCUCGUGGAUCUCAGAACUCUUCAGCUUCAGGAGGAGCGACGUCGGAAAAGUUCCCGAAUCAAGAAAAUCCAAUUUGGGUACCUGAGCGCUUGACUCGAAAAUUGCCUUCUGAAGAUGAGACUACGAACCCUACUAUUGCUACUGGGAAUGAUAAUACAGGUUAAUUCGAUCACCCUGUGGGCUAUUGCCAGAUCCUGGCCAGUACCCAUGCCAGUCCAUAGCAAUUCUACUGUUUUACCAACCUUUUUCUCUACCUCCUGUUUGCGUGAUGUUCCUUGUAUAGUGCCAACUGGAGAAAUGCCCCAACGGUAUGCCGCCACUAACGUUUCUCUGUUGCAUACCUUAUGUUUUACCAUUAAAGACUCUUCCCUGCCCUGUA